rnacentral:tRNA from 1 species
GCCUGGGUGGCUCAGUCGGUUGAGCGUCCGACUUUGGCUCAGGUCAUGAUCUCGCGGUUUGUGGGUUUGAGCCCCGCGUCGGGCU